rnacentral:rRNA from 1 species
GUGGGGAAUUUUGGACAAUGGGCGAAAGCCUGAUCCAGCCAUGCCGCGUGCAGGAUGAAGGCCUUCGGGUUGUAAACUGCUUUUGUACGGAACGAAAAGACUCCUUCUAAUAAAGGGGGUCCAUGACGGUACCGUAAGAAUAAGCACCGGCUAACUACGUGCCAGCAGCCGCGGUAAUACGUAGGGUGCAAGCGUUAAUCGGAAUUACUGGGCGUAAAGCGUGCGCAGGCGGUGAUGUAAGACAGAUGUGAAAUCCCCGGGCUCAACCUGGGAACUGCAUUUGUGACUGCAUUGCUGGAGUGCGGCAGAGGGGGAUGUAAUUCCGCGUGUAGCAGUGAAAUGCGUAGAUAUGCGGAGGAACACCGAUGGCGAAGGCAAUCCCCUGGGCCUGCACUGACGCUCAUGCACGAAAGCGUGGGGAGCAAACAGGAUUAGAUACCCCUGUAGUCC